UUGUUGCAUGGGGUGGUUGUCUGAUGUUUCUUUCUUUAACCACAUUAAAAAAAUAUGGCGACCACGUCGACCACGUUGCGAGAUGCCGGCUGCCGGGAUUUAUUUUUCGCCAUUAAUAAAAUAAUAAUUACCGCCUACUUCAACAAUUGGUGUCGUACGAAAACAGCAGUGCAAUGUACCAUAGAGAGUGUGGGUUGUGGUCGUGGAGAAAAUCAGUUUCAACUAGUUAAAUUAAUAAGAAUAGUAGAACUUCAGUGAAGGGUGUAGUAAAAGUUGAGUUCAGAAUUUAAAAUCUUUCAAUAAUUCUGAAUGUGCUAAAAAUCGAAUUUUUUAUUCUUUUUAAGUUCCAGACAUACAACAUUUUCUUGUUUUAGUUGCAAGUGGUUGCAAUGAUGGUGUACCAAUGGUGAAGGCAGAAUGAGAAACAGCUUACAUAUGCUCUGAAAUUGAAUAACCAAUAAUGCCUUAUUGGCUCUUAACUAGCAUCUGAUCGUGUGUAAUGAUUUUUUACAAAUUAUGUCAUUUUUGAUAGAAUAAGGGUAAGAAAUAUAGGUAAGAAUAAGCUAGAUGAACAUAAAGAGAAGAAAGUAAAAUUCAAGUAAAGAUAUUAAGUAGAACUGUGCUUUAUUUGUCCCACCUCCACCAGGUUUUAGGACAAGAAAAAUCACAGUGACACAAGAAAUAGUCAUCCUGUUAGACUCUGGAAUAUUUGCAUUUCAACCGAUAUUGGUGCAAAUACUGAUUCUAUAAGUCACAUCUUUGCAGAAGAAAUGGCAGCCUGGAAGAAAUUGGCGGUGGUGAUUGGUGUGAAUUUAGAAAUUGAGGCAGGUGUUUCCCACAAUGUACUUGACGAAAGAACUUGAAGGCACUGUAAGCCAAUGCUAUCUGGAAUUUCGCUAGAAAUGUCUUUCAGACAGUCAUAAACGUUGAGAAAAAAGAAGAACCUGAACUCAAAAUAGAACCAGAAGAACCAUAUAGCAUAUAUACUACCGGUAUAACUCUCCAAGACCCACGUGCUCAAAGACUACAUGUAUUAUUAUGGCAUGCUCUUGUUCAUUUACGACUAAUGGUUUUGGUGGAGUCAUCAAAUUGGGCAUUGGAAAGCUAGCUGCAAAGAUUUGUAAACUAGUACACGAGCAAUCCACUUCCGGUCGGUAAGAACCAGGCGUCCUAGAAGAGACACUAUAAAUGUAAAUGUCGUUCAAGUUUUCCAUUACCAAACCUUUAUCGGCUUCAUUAUCUCAAAGGACAAAGGCAUAGAGGAAUAGGAAACAUUUUCAUUUCUUUCCCAAUCCAAAGCUAAUGAGCAAAUUUUUCUUUCUAACUAAUCCGGAAACACAAAAUGAUGAAAUUCGUCUUUACGGUCAACUAGUUCGACCGUAUCAUGAGUGAACCAACUAGCCUGAUGUCAUUCAAGAUUUCCAUCACGGUCCCAAGAAUAAUUCCCCGGCUUGGAUUUUCUCAUUGGCCUGACCUCUCUUAAAGAGUCUCUCGUUUUUCCGCACAAACGGCUUUGUGUUGCUACAGAAAGGGUGUUGUUUCUCCGUAAUGAAAGUUAAAAGGGAGACUAGCCUAUAAUUUCCACAUCGCCUGAAACUGCUGUCCAUUUUGCUAGUCUUCGUUAUAGAAGAAAUUCUGCCAUCUCUUCAUCGAUGAGAGACUUGCUGUAACGUUUUGUCAGAAACACUACAGUUAAAGUAAUAAUGAAUGCUAGGUUUUAGCGAACUUAAAUGCGUUGUUCAAGUUUUGUGAGUAGACCAGUCCUGCAAUCAAAUACUGAGUUUUGAGACGUGUCAAAUAGAUGGCGUGUUGAUUGUAUCAGUAAUCGGCUAUGGCGGUUUGCUGUCAAAAGUUAAGCUUUCUUUUCUUCGAAAAUUAAUAAUGAAUUCAUAGGUAAAUUCGAAUUUUUCGUCCGUAACUUGUCGGUGAUGUGUUCUAUUCCGUGUAUAUGUUAAACAACUCUAAUGUUUCUCAUCAACUUACAGUAGGAAACGUGUAAGGGUCGUGCAGCCUAUUGUCAAAGUUCUAUUUUGUUCAAAAUAAUUGUAUUCUACUGAAUGUGCCAUCGAAAUUAUGCAGGUGUCAUCAUAAUUAUCUGCUGUUUGUAUUGGACUUGCUAGAUCACCAACCUCAGCAUAGACCAAUCUCUCAUUCCAUCAUUCUAGAUAAACUUGGAUAACUGAUGGGUGGUUUCAUGUGUUCUAAAUUAGAGGUUUCUAAAUUGGCAUGACCAACUUUAUGAGAAGUCAUGUCCUUUCAAGAAAAGGACAAGGACUAUACAGUCCUUCCUUGUUUGCUAACCUGUUGGCUGCAACCCUUGAAUCUCCAUUAUUUACUUCCUUACACGGGCCCUCCUGAUUUGAGAAUAAUCCUUCACUACUGAUCAUGGACUUCAUCCAUUGGUGAAAACGGACGAGAGAAUGCUGUAAUCCAAGACUGAUUAAUUGUGUAGUU